rnacentral:rRNA from 1 species
UAAACGUCUCAGUUCGGAUUGUAGUCUGCAACUCGACUACAUGAAGCUGGAAUCGCUAGUAAUCGCGAAUCGGAAUGUCGCGGUGAAUACGUUCCCGGGUCUCGUACACACCGCCCGUCACACCAUGGGAGUUGGUAACGCCCGAAGUCAGUGACCCAACCGAAAGGAGGGAGCUGCCUAAGGCGGGACCGAUAACUGGGGUGAAGUCGUAACAAGGUAGC